UGAACACCUCGCUUGCAGCACAGGGCUUCUUUGAGGACAACUAAAUCUACAGGGUGUACCUCAUUCCAGUGCGGGGGCUCUGGACAGCCCAGGUUGGUGGCAUCCCCACCCUGGUACUCACACAGGUGGUGCUCUUCAAAGUGAUGUCAUUAGAAAAGACAUUUCUGCCAUUGUUCAGGCUGGCUUCAACAAAGACCUCCCUAAAGCACAGAAAGCGAAGAUGGUGACAGCCAGCCCAGGGAGAUGCAGUUCUUGCCCUCGAGUCCGUUGGCUUAACUCUGAAAGGUGACCUGGAGCAACGGUACCAUUCCUCGGGCAAUCAUCUCCGGCAUCUUGCCCUCCUCACAGACCCUAGGACACUGCAGAUCUCUAGGACACUGCAGAUCCCUAGGACACUGCGGAUCCCUGAACACCUUGGGGGCCACCAACAAGGGAGGUGAGCACUGUGUCCUUAGACCAGCCGCAGACACGUGCUGCCCCAGCAGGGGGGCAUCCAC
rnacentral:lncRNA from 1 species